GACGAACGCUGGCGGCGUGCCUAAUACAUGCAAGUCGAGCGGACUUGAAGAGAAGCUUGCUUCUCUGAUGGUUAGCGGCGGACGGGUGAGUAACACGUAGGCAACCUGCCUGUAAGACUGGGAUAACUACCGGAAACGGUAGCUAAUACUGGAUAGGUAAUUUUCUCGCAUGAGGGAGUCAAGAAAGACGGAGCAAUCUGUCACUUACGGAUGGGCCGGCGGCGCAUUAGCUAGUUGGUGAGGUAAUGGCUCACCAAGGCGACGAUGCGUAGCCGACCUGAGAGGGUGAACGGCCACACUGGGACUGAGACACGGCCCAGACUCCUACGGGAGGCAGCAGUAGGGAAUCUUCCGCAAUGGACGAAAGUCUGACGGAGCAACGCCGCGUGAGUGAUGAAGGUUUUCGGAUCGUAAAGCUCUGUUGCCAGGGAAGAACGUCUUAGAGAGUAACUGCUCUAAGAGUGACGGUACCUGAGAAGAAAGCCCCGGCUAACUACGUGCCAGCAGCCGCGGUAA
rnacentral:rRNA from 1 species